UGUGUCAGUCCUGUUUGUAUAUAUGUCUUGCUUCUGCCUUUGGACCAUACUUUCAUUUCCCAGACUGUCUUCUGCUCUGUUUGCCUGGUUACCUGGUUAGACCACAGUAAGUUUUCUUUGGUUUCCCUGCUCGGCAGCGCUUUCUGUCAUGUUAAUAAACCCCUGGCCUUGGAACCGUGUGCCUCCCAUCUCUGCAUUUUGGGUCCUUUAUACUCAUCAAGCCUUAUACCUGACACGAAUGGGGACACAAAUGUGGGCGAGCACCCAAGUUGAACUCUAUGCCAAGUAAACUGAUGUGGUGGAGGUGAAGUUCUAGUGGUGCGUCGAUGGAUGGAAUUUAUUUCAGACUCAGUCCAAUCAAUAAAAGAGUACACAGACUCACUACAUUUAAAAAGCACAGUGUCAAGAAUAGACAAGUUAAGAAGCAGUAUACAAAAUAUUACAAUGGUUAAUAAAGAAAUAAAUUAAUUAAAAGAAUAAGAGGAAAAUAAGGUGAAAACACUACUGAUACAUACCACAUCAUAAAUGGGACAAAUAAGAAGACAGUCCCUCCAGUGUUUCAAUGACUUUGACUAGAAGCGUAUGGCACGAAAUCUAAUGUUACAUAUAGCCAAGAUGAGAGUAUUCUCAGCCCAUAACUACCAUUCUCUCAAACUGCCAGCAGGGGGCGACACUUGUAUUUACAAAAUUAGGCUGACUAUCAAAAGUUGCAUUUAUUUUUCUUUCAAUGACCGUUUUAUCAGCGAUACCCAGCCAUUGGUUAUGAUUAUUAUUAUUUUUGAAUGAUCGUAACAUCAAGAGAGGAUUUUUAAGGCUUUACAGAGAAUCUUACUGGGGUGGAGGGGAAAUGCAAGCGACUCUUCUUGUUUUUUUGUUUUUUUUUGCAUUUAAUCAUUGAACUUUUGCCAAUAAUUAAGUAUAAAAUUGUAACUAGUAGUUUUAUUUGAUAGUUGAAUGUUUAUGGAGAUUUCUUUGUCGAAGAAAGAUUCACUGAAUCAGAUGAAAAUUUUCCUCCGCUUUUACCUCCAUGUAUUCUUGUUUUCACACUUGACUGAGAAUAAAUUAAACGCUAUGUUUCCACGCAUUUUUAGCAUCAAUAUUUUGUAGGAUCUGGGGAUGCAUUAAACUUUGAGCAACAUAAUGAGAGAGCAAUAACCAACAGCAAGAGAUCAGCACAGCUGCAGCAUCAUUUAAAUGUGGCGAGAUGGAUUAUCUGAUACCAGAUGCUCUGCAGGGUGGCACUGAACACGGAUUAUGUUCGCAUCCUAACCGUCAGUCCCUGAGCGGUGGCAGUUUGGAUUGGGACAAGAUGGGAAAUUAAGGUUUUGCACGCCCACAAAAGAAGGUGAUGUCAAACUUGGACAGGCAGUCUGAAAAUGGUGGAAACAAUGUUUUUUUUUUUUUUAAUUGGCUGCAGCUCGAGGGCAACAUCGAAAGCUGAACAAAAAGUUUGAAACCAUAAAUGUUUUUGUUUAGAAAAAAGCUAAAGAAGUUGAAAUGUGUACCCUGAAGCAGGAUGAGAGCACUGAACUCACCACGCAACACUGUCACAGGUGUUGCUGAAGACAUUUCCUACUUUUGCUGUAAGGCUGGUGGAGGAGUUUUUCACAGUGACAGAUUUUCAGCAUUGUUUUGUUUUCUCACAGUUGACAUUACUGUCAAGGUAAACCUCAUGGAUCAAAUGAAGUUUUGCUGCUGUUUAGAUCCCUAAGUGUUGGAGAGGCUGUCAUGCUGGAGGCCGCACUCUGCUGAAUUCUUGCAUCUUUCUUCAGUGUCUCUUAAGUCACUGUACUUGAAGGACUGUUUUGUCAUUUCACCAUUUGCAAAAUGACAAUGUUGCACCGACAGUUAGUGAUGCAGCAGCAACUCCGACUGCCAACACUUUAUCAUAAUUACUGAGGCAGUGACAUAAGUGCUUUUAAUAAAAAGGAGUAUCGGCUG